rnacentral:rRNA from 1 species
AUUGAACGCUGGCGGCAGGCCUAACACAUGCAAGUCGAGCGGAUGAAGGGAGUUUGCUCCUGGAUCCAGCGGCGGACGGGUGAGUAAUGCAUAGGAAUCUGCCUGGUAGUGGGGGAUAACGCCCGGAAACGGGCGCUAAUACCGCAUACGACCUGAGGGAGAAAGUGGGGGAUCUUCGGACCUCACGCUAUUAGAUGAGCCUAGGUCGGAUUAGCUAGUUGGUGGGGUAAAGGCCUACCAAGGCGACGAUCCGUAACUGGUCUGAGAGGAUGAUCAGUCACACUGGAACUGAGACACGGUCCAGACUCCUACGGGAGGCAGCAGUGGGGAAUAUUGGACAAUGGGCGAAAGCCUGAUCCAGCCAUGCCGCGUGUGUGAAGAAGGUCUUCGGAUUGUAAAGCGCUUUAGGUUGGGAGGAAGGGCAGUAAGUUAAUACCUUGCUGUUUUGACGGUACCAACAGAAUAAGCACCGGCUAACUUCGUG